AACGAACGCUGGCGGCAUGCCUAACACAUGCAAGUCGAACGAGACCUUCGGGUCUAGUGGCGCACUGGUGCGUAACGCGUGGGAACCUGCCCUUAGGUUCGGAAUAACUCCCCGAAAGGGGUGCUAAUACCGGAUAAUGUCUUCGGACCAAAGAUUUAUCGCCUUUGGAUGGGCCCGCGUUGGAUUAGCUAGUUGGUAGGGUAAAAGCCUACCAAGGCGACGAUCCAUAGCUGGUCUGAGAGGAUGAUCAGCCACACUGGGACUGAGACACGGCCCAGACUCCUACGGGAGGCAGCAGUGGGGAAUAUUGGACAAUGGGCGAAAGCCUGAUCCAGCAAUGACGCGUGAGUGAUGAAGGCCUUAGGGUUGUAAAGCUCUUUUACCCGGGAUGAUAAUGACAGUACCGGGAGAAUAAGCUCCGGCUAACUCCGUG
rnacentral:rRNA from 1 species